GAUGAAGAACGUAGCGAAAUGCGAUACGUAAUGUGAAUUGCAGAAUUCAGUGAAUCAUCGAAUCUUUGAACGCAUAUUGCGCUCUCUGGUAUUCCGGAGAGCAUGCUUGUUUGAGUAUCAGUAAACACCUCAACUUCCAUAUCUUUUUUGAAAUGGGAGUUGGACUUGAGUGAUCCCAACGCUUUUCCUCACCGAAAAGUGGCGGGUUACUUGAAAUGCAGGUGCAGCUGGACUUUUCUCUGAGCUAUAAGCAUAUCUAUUUAGUCUGCCUCAAAAACAGAUUAUUACCUUUGCUGCAGCUAACAUAAAGGAGAUUAGUUCUUGUGCUGACUGAUGCAGGAUUCACAAAGACAGGCUUCGGCCGACUUUGUAAACUCGAUCUCAAAUCAAGUAAGACUACCCGCUGAACUUAAGCAUAUCAAUAAGCGGAGGA
rnacentral:misc_RNA from 1 species